rnacentral:rRNA from 1 species
ACGAACGCUGGCGGCGUGCCUAAUACAUGCAAGUUGAGCGCUGAAGGUUGGUACUUGUACCAACUGGAUGAGCAGCGAACGGGUGAGUAACGCGUGGGGAAUCUGCCUUUGAGCGGGGGACAACAUUUGGAAACGAAUGCUAAUACCGCAUAAAAACUUUAAACACAAGUUUUAAGUUUGAAAGAUGCAAUUGCAUCACUCAAAGAUGAUCCCGCGUUGUAUUAGCUAGUUGGUGAGGUAAAGGCUCACCAAGGCGAUGAUACAUAGCCGACCUGAGAGGGUGAUCGGCCACAUUGGGACUGAGACACGGCCCAAACUCCUACGGGAGGCAGCAGUAGGGAAUCCUCGGCAAUGGACGAAAGUCUGACCGAGCAACGCCGCGUGAGUGAAGAAGGUUUUCGGAUCGUAAAACUCUGUUGGUAGAGAAGAACGUUGGUGAGAGUGGAAAGCUCAUCAAGUGACGGUAACUACCCAGAAAGGGACGGCUAACUACGUG